AUACCUAUGGUGUAAUGGUAACAUGACAGUCUCCAAAACUGUUGUUCUCGGUUCAAGUCCGAGUGGGUAUGCCA
rnacentral:tRNA from 7 species